CCAUAGGGGGCGCUGGGGCUCUGCCCCACCAGCUGUUGAGGGGAAAAAAUAUUUUUUGCAUAUUUUUUUUUAAAUCAAUGUCAGUUUUACUUAAUAGUGUGUGUGCCUACAUGCAAUUUAAAUCAUUUAAACAACAUUUCCACCAACUAACACUCAUUAAACAGUGAAUUUCCACUGACAGACAGUGUAUCAUUCUCUCAUGGGGCGAUCGGCAAAGUGCCCCUGACCGGCAGCUAACCAGCCAAUCCGGUUAUGGUUGCUAGGGGGAAAUUAUGAAUAAUUGGCCUAUCAACGUCGCCAAAUUUAACGCCGGUGGGGCGCUGGAAAUUUAGCCCCAACUGCUACGUAAAAUGCGUGAAGGUUUAGGAUUGCUGUAGCUACAUAAGGAGCCAGCGAUAGUUUUUUUUCGUAGUGCGACUCCCAGACUCUGUCCUACGCUACGUGGGGAAAAAAUACGCGCGACGACGAAGAGAGAUGAUGGCGGUGACCACUGGAGUUCAAGAGCAGCUUCCACCAAAUUCGGUGAAAUCGUUAAUAAUAUACCCCUUUGCGAGACGGACGACGGAGGAAAAACUUCUCGUUAAGGAGCUGGGACCCGACAAGCCUGAAAUCAGCAUUUCCCAGCAAAUCAAGCUGAAAGAUAAAUCUUACAAACGGAGUUUUUGUCGGAGCUGGUUCAACCGUAAGACGUGGCUGGCAGGUUGUGGAGCAGCCAAUGCACUUUUCUGUUUCCCCUGUAUCCUCUUCAGAAGUGACAAAUGUGAUUCGACUUGGACAAAGACUGGACUAACUGACUUAAAACACCUCUCUGAACGGAUCAAGAAGCACGAUCGAUCCAAAGUUCACAUGGAAAACUGCGUAAAGCUAGCUGUGUUCGGAAAGAUUAGCAUAGCAACGCAGCUCGAUGAUGGGCACCGCAUCGCUGUAAGAAGGCACAAUGAAGAGGUAGAUAAAAACCGCAAUAUUUUAUCUAAGAUCAUCGAUUGUGUAAAUUUUUGUGGUACUUUUGAAUUAGCAAUGCGGGGACAUGAUGAAAGGGAUUCCUCAGACAACGCCGGAAUAUUCAGAGGUUUAGUCAACCUAAUGGCAUCCAUUGAUCGGGACUUGAGGGAGCACCUUGAAAAUGCGACCGUAUUUAAAGGCACCUCGAAGACCGUUCAGAACGAGCUCCUGGACUGUAUGCUGGCAGUUCUAAGAGAAAAGAUCGUGGAUGAAGUGAAGACAGCUGAGUUUUUAGCUAUCCAAGCGGAUGAAACUACCGACAUUUCCACACACUGUCAGCUAGUCCUGGUCCUAAGAUACAUCGAUGGACGCAACAACAUACAGGAGCGCUUCUAUGAAUUCAUCAAGCUACCCAACAGCUGUGCGGAUUCAAUAGCCGGUGCCUUAUUGGAGAGCCUGCACAGCAUCCUUCCUGAGGGACAAAAAAAUAAGUUGAUCGCCCAGGCAUAUGAUGGGGCAGCGGUAAUGAGGGGUGCCACUGGAGGAGUGCAGCGAAAGGUACAGGACAUCUAUGUAAACGCUCACUACAUUCACUGUUAUGCCCAUCAGUUAAACCUGGUAAUGCAGCAGGCGACCUCCCACAUCCCUCAGAUCAGUCACUUUUUCACCGACAUGGGGGGAUUUGCUUCUUUUUUCUCAAAAUCGAGCAAGAGAACGGCAGUGCUAGAUGAGCUGGUGGCGCACCGACUUCCAAGUGCAUCCUCAACACGUUGGAACUUCAACAGUCGUGCAGUCAACACAGUCUAUGAGCACAAGAAUGAUCUGGUGAAGUGUUUUCAGACCAUCCGGAACAGUGACGCAUUUGAUGGCCAAACGAAGAGAGAGGCUGGAGGCUAUGUGAGAAUGCUGGAAGAUGAAGCUUUCUGUUUUUUCCUAGCCUUGUUCCACAAGACCAUGCCACAUGUAGACAUGCUGUAUAAUCAGCUCCAGAAGAGAAACAUCGAUGCUGUCUACAUCGCAGGAAUCACCCAGGCAUUCAUGAACCGCAUGCAGGGAGGCUGUUCCUAAUCUGGCUGAGGAUGAGGAGUACAGGGGACCUGUUCAGGAUCCACCCACAAAGAAACGGAGAACAUUGGGAGAAGACACACAGCACCAUUUGGCACUAGAGGGUGGACCAUCUCUACACUUUCUUUGUGCAGUGGUCCCCACAAAUCUAUACUAAUGACCGCAAGAAGCACCGCAAACCCCACUUCCUCAUCAGAGAGAAACACCAGAACAGCUUUUGAUAAUGGAGAAGAAGAAUGCUGCUGUGAUCAACAAGCUCCUCAGUAACCCUGUCGACCCGACUGCUCACACCUGGGGGGUAAGGAUUGCAUAAAUUCACAUGUGCUGUUAAUGGGUCACAAAAGCCCACUGUGGCUCUCUGACGGCAGAGAAAAAACUCCACAAUUUUAUAACAUCCCCUUGUAGUAUCUCGGACUUGCAGUAACUGAGUCACUGAAGUGCUUGGCGGGUAUCCCAGACGUUGUGGGAAAACCCAGUUUCUCUAUAUAUGGACAUCCUAUCUCUAGCACCCUCCCAUUAUCCCAGAAACCCUGCGUAACAUUCCUGUUCUAAAGAAAGGAAACUGUUACGAGCCAACCAAUGAGAAGCCCCACCACCAGAGUGUCCAACCAAUAGGGUUUCCGACACAUAGAGGAGGGAAGUGGACCGGAGGAAACAUAAGGGAUGAACACUGGCAGAUUUUGGUGAGCAGACAUGUGGAUUUGCAGAGCACAGAGCUUGAAAGAGAAACACGAAACUAUGAAGCUGCUGCCAGAUAAUAUCAAGGUGCUUUAUUUUGCCAGUGGCUGUGUGGACCCAUAUGUUGAGAUUAUCACAGUAAAGGACCCCAAGCAGCACCUGAGUCUUUGCAGCUCAGGGUACUUGGAGGAGCCCGAUUACCAGGAGGAAGUCGAAGAUGCUCUUCCUGUCCUGAGCGACGACAGCCAGCUGUUUGAAGACCACCACCUGGAGAGACUUACUGCUCAGAUGCCAGUGAGGACCCAGGGAUAUCCCUUGCAGCUGGUCUACAGCACGGCCAUCCACGGGAGCAGCCUAAAGACUCUGUA